rnacentral:rRNA from 1 species
UACGUAGGGGGCAAGCGUUGUCCGGAAUCAUUGGGCGUAAAGAGCGCGUAGGCGGCCCUGUAAGUCCGCUGUGAAAGUCAAGGGCUCAACCCUUGAAUGCCGGUGGAUACUGCAGGGCUAGAGUCCGGAAGAGGCGAGUGGAAUUCCUGGUGUAGCGGUGAAAUGCGCAGAUAUCAGGAGGAACACCUAUGGCGAAAGCAGCUCUCUGGGACGGUACUGACGCUGAGACGCGAAAGCGUGGGGAGCGAACAGG